rnacentral:rRNA from 1 species
GGCGAUGGUUCAUUCAAAUUUCUGCCCUAUCAACUUUCGAUGGUAGGAUAGUGGCCUACCAUGGUUUCAACGGGUAACGGGGAAUAAGGGUUCGAUUCCGGAGAGGGAGCCUGAGAAACGGCUACCACAUCCAAGGAAGGCAGCAGGCGCGCAAAUUACCCAAUCCUAAUUCAGGGAGGUAGUGACAAUAAAUAACGAUACAGGGCCCAUUCGGGUCUUGUAAUUGGAAUGAGUACAAUCUAAAUAUCUUAACAAGGAACAAUUGGAGGGCAAGUCUGGUGCCAGCAGCCGCGGUAAUUCCAGCUCCAAUAGCGUAUAUUAAAGUUGUUGCAGUUAAAAAGCUCGUAGUUGAACUUUGGGCUUGGUUGGCCGGUCCGCUUUUUUGCGUGUACUGGUCCCAACCGAGCCUUUCCUUCUGGCUAACCUUCUCUCUCGGGAGUUGGCGAACCAGGACUUUUACUUUGAAAAAAUUAGAGUGUUCAAAGCAGGCCUUUGCUCGAAUAUAUUAGCAUGGAAUAAUAGAAUAGGACGUUUGGUUCUAUUUUGUUGGUUUCUAGGACCAUCGUAAUGAUUAAUAGGGACGGUCGGGGGCAUCAGUAUUCAAUUGUCAGAGGUGAAAUUCUUGGAUUUAUUGAAGACUAACUACUGCGAAAGCAUUUG